rnacentral:rRNA from 1 species
UGAGGAAUAUUGGACAAUGGGGGCAACCCUGAUCCAGCCAUGCCGCGUGAGUGAAGAAGGCCUUCGGGUUGUAAAGCUCUUUCAGAUGUGACGAUGAUGACGGUAGCAUCAGAAGAAGCCCCGGCUAAAUUCGUGCCAGCAGCCGCGGUAAUACGAAUGGGGCAAGCGUUGUUCGGAAUCACUGGGCUUAAAGCGUACGCAGGCGGACAUGAAAGUCAGAAGUGAAAUCCCGGGGCUCAACCCCGGAACUGCUUUUGAAACUCCAUGUCUAGAAUCCGGGAGAGGUUGGCGGAAUUCCGAGUGUAGAGGUGAAAUUCGCAGAUAUUCGGAGGAACACCAGUGGCGAAGGCGGCCAACUGGACCGGUAUUGACGCUCAUGUACGAAAGCGUGGGGAGCAAACAGGAUUAGAUACCCCCGUAGUCC